CCUGCCCCUAGAGGUGUUGCAGGUAUGGCUGCCGUGUCACAUGUGUGUCCUAGGUGGCAGAGAGGAGAGGGCCUUCGUCUAUGCUCCGUGUUCUGACCUGUGGACAUCUGAAUGAUUAGUAACCUAACACU